rnacentral:rRNA from 1 species
CCUACGGGAGGCAGCAGUGAGGAAUAUUGGUCAAUGGGCGCGAGCCUGAACCAGCCAAGUAGCGUGAAGGAUGACUGCCCUCCGGGUUGUAAACUUCUUUUAUAAAGGGAUAAAGUGAGGCACGUGUGCCUUUUUGUCUGUACUUUAUGAAUAAGGAUCGGCUAAAUACGUGCCAGCAGCCGCGGUAAUACGGAGGCUCCGAGCGUUAUCCGGAUGUAUUGGGUUUAAAGGGAGCGUAGGUGGGUUGUUAAGUCUGUUGUGAAAGUCUGUGGCUCAACCAUAAAAUUGCAAUUGAAACUGGCAGACUUGAGUAUAGUUGAGGUAGGCGGAAUUCGUGGUGUAGCGGUGAAAUGCUUAGAUAUCACGAAGAACUCCGAUUGCGAAGGCAGCCUACUAAAAUGCCACUGACAUUGAUGCUCGAAAGUGUGGGUAGCAAACAGGAUUAGAUACCCGAGUAGUC